rnacentral:rRNA from 1 species
ACGAAGGUGGCAAGCGUUGUUCGGAUUUACUGGGCGUAAAGGGAGCGUAGGUGGUCGGGUAAGCCCCGCGGGAAAGCUCCAGGCUUAACCUGGAAAGGUCGCGGGGGACUGCGCGGCUAGAGGACGGGAGAGGAGCGCGGGAUUCCCGGUGUAGCGGUGAAAUGCGUAGAUAUCUGGAGGAACACCGGUGGCGAAGGCGGCAUCCUGGACCGGCAUUGACGCUGAGGCGCGAAAGCCAGGGGAGCAAACGGGA